AUCAGAACGCCUUAUUCCGUUUCCUGCUGAAACAAGGCUUUAAGUCCUGCAAGCCUCAGUUUCUUCCUCUGUGAAAUGGGCAUAAUGACAUCUGUGACGUGAAGAAUCAAGGAGAUGAAGUAUGGACAGCGUUUAGCCCAGAGUCCUGCGCCUAGUAAAUGCUCACUCACUAGGGGGCCAUAACCACAUUGUCACUGUUUCUACACUGUCUGGAAGAAGAAUGGGCAUUGUUACCUCAAUAUGGGACCACCAGGGGCUUGCAAGAAGAGGCUGAAGAUGACAGACAGAGACAGCUCUACCACCAUCUCCUGCCACUUACCAGGCUGGGCCACCUAGAUGUUUUCUGCUUCUCUGGGGUUGAUUUUUGUCAUUUGCUUAACAGACACUAUUCAGACCACUACCUUCCAUACACCACCCUGGAGCCUCCCUGUGACGGGGCUUCCUGACCGGCCUGUCUGAGCAUGAAAGGACUGAGCCCUCCAUAGGCGGGCGUGCUGACAGGAUGCACAUGGUGGAGGACAUCUGCUGCAUUUGGCUGUGUGACAUCUCCCCCUCGCCUUCUGAACAGGUCUCUGCAGAGGCCAUGAAAAAUGUGCCACUCAGCUUUUCUGCUAAUUGUUGAAGGCCCAGCUGCCACCGCUCUGGAUCUACACCCCAUUUGCAAUGAAGCCACACAUCUCGUGAGCCACUCCCAGCCCGUGACUGGGCACAGCAGGGGCCCUAACGCAGGAUAGCUCUGAGGAGGUGUGGGACCCUUGACAGUGGAGGACAUUGGCCCGAGAACUCUUCAUCGACCUGAUCAAACCUCUCUUGGAACUGCAAAGCAGUCUGAGACUCUUCUCCCAGUUUAUUAUCUCCCUAUUAACUAUCUAUAGUGUAACUCAUUGGAAAAGAGUCAUUAAUUUUGAUUAUCAAAUUCACUUCUUUUUCUUUUUGACUUGCA